rnacentral:lncRNA from 10 species
CACAUGCAGAACCCCUGCCCAACAGCAAAACCCACUGAAACCUAAUAGACACAUCCAGAACCUCCGCCCAACAACAAAACCCAAGUGUGCACAGGACAUGCUCCAGGAUAGACCAUAUAUUAGCCACAAGUUAGGCCUGAGUAGAUUAAAAAGGAUCGAUAUCUGUGAUGGUUGACACUGAGUGUGAACUUGAUUGAAGGAUGCAGGGUGUUAAUCCUGGGUGUGUCUGUGAGGGUGUUACCAAAGGAGAUUAGCGUUUGAGUCAGUGGACUUGGGAAGGCAGACUCACUCUUAAUCUGGUGGGCACAAUCUAAUCAACUGCCAGCAAAUAUAAGGCAAGCAGAGAAACAUGAAAGGUUGAGACUGGCCUAGCCUCACAGCCUACAUCUUUCUCUGUGCUGGAUGCUUCCUGCCCUCGAACAUCAGACUCCAAAUUCUCCAGUUUUGGGACUCGAACUGGCUCUCCUUGCUCCUCAGCUUACAGAUGGCCUAUUGUGGGACCUUGUGAUUGUGUAAGUUAAUACUUAAUAAACUCCCCUAAUAUAGCCUAUUAGUUCUGUCCCUCUAAGAGAACCCUGACUAAUACAGUAUCAUACAAAAGAAU